UACGUAGGGAGCGAGCGUUGUCCGGAUUUAUUGGGCGUAAAGAGCUCGUAGGCGGUCUGUUGCGUCUGCUGUGAAAACUCGGGGCUUAACCCCGAGCCUGCAGUGGAUACGGGCAGACUAGAGGUAGGUAGGGGAGAAUGGAAUUCCCGGUGUAGCGGUGAAAUGCGCAGAUAUCGGGAGGAACACCGGUGGCGAAGGCGGUUCUCUGGGCCUUACCUGACGCUGAGGAGCGAAAGCGUGGGGAGCGAACAGG
rnacentral:rRNA from 1 species